UCCCAUUCGAUCCCGGUAACUUCUUAGGGUGUGAAGGAUGGAUAGUCAUUGGUCGGUCCACUUGUUUGAGUGAUAUUGUUAUAUGUGUUAGGUGGACUUUACUUUCAAUUAGGACACCACCCCUUGAUGGUGAUUCCUUUCGCCAACUCCUUUGUAAUUUUUUUUCUAAGUCCCUCGUGAUUAUAAUAAAGGACGUGUGGUUAUAUCUCAAGUGUGUACCUCCUUGGCAUGUUGAUGUUGUUUAUUGUACUAACUCUAACCCUCAUGUCAUGAGGAUGUGGUGCUUGUU
rnacentral:lncRNA from 1 species